rnacentral:rRNA from 1 species
UACGUAGGUGGCAAGCGUUGUCCGGAUUUAUUGGGCGUAAAGAGCGUGUAGGCGGCCAUGUAGGUCCGUUGUGAAAACUCGAGGCUCAACCUCGAGACGCCGAUGGAAACCAUGUGGCUAGAGUCCGGAAGAGGAGAGUGGAAUUCCUGGUGUAGCGGUGAAAUGCGCAGAUAUCAGGAAGAACACCCGUGGCUAAGGCGGCUCUCUAGUACGGUACUGACGCUGAGACGCGAAAGCGUGGGGAGCAAACAGG